rnacentral:tRNA from 1 species
UAGCUCAGCUGGAUAGAGCAAUGGCCUUCUAAGCCAUCGGUCGGGGGUUCGAAUCCCU